AGGAGUAUACUCACAACAACACUUCAAAAUAUCUAACCCUUUCAGUUAUUUGCAAACUUAGUACAGCUAACGUUGAUUCAGCUAGUGCUAGCGUUCACAUUAUUCACAACCUUAUUGAUUUGCUCACUUUGGUAACCUACAUCACUGCUUUUGCUAAUGGCUGAGUGGGCAUUUCCAUUUGAAAA